CAUAUUUGCAGUGUUGCCAAACGAGCACACAUUAUUUUUCUUGUUUUUCUAUGACUCCUAAAUCUUUUCCUCCCAUGCAACCCAAGUUUGCCACGAAUCUGGCAACUCAUGCGUCAUUUUCAACUUGAAAACUGAUUAGACCCUUUGUAAAAUUGGUUGACAGUUCAGCAGUGUCAACAUUGUGAAAAUUGUCGUGGCGUGUUGUUUUUUUUUAUUUCUGAACCCGAAGAAAUCCCUCCGGAUUUGUCCAUUCCGGGCUGUGAAAGCAACCAGGACAACAAUCCUCAUCGGCGUUGUUUAUUCCAAGCAACUCUACCACUUGACCUCCGGAAUAACAAAAAACAAUCAGUGACUGCCGGCCCACAUGACGACAUCGGCGCUUUGGAAGAGAACGCGACGUUCCUCGAGAACAAUCCGCUUGGAGGCGGCCUCGGAACAGCAUACUCCACCAGCAGAAUCAGCAACGUGAGUGCAUUCGUUGCACCGGAGGGGAACAAGACGUUCCUCAAGAACAACCCGCCCGGAGGCGGCCCCAGAACCUACGCCACCAGCAGAACCAACAACAUGCGUGCAUUCGCUGCACCGGGGUUGAACCUGACGUUCCUCGAGACUAACCCGCCCGGAGGCGGCCCCGGAACAGCAUACUCCACCAGCAGAAUCAGCAACGUGAGUGCAUUCGUUGCACCGGAGUGAAUCAAGACGUUCCUCGAGAAAAACCCGCCCGGAGGCGGUCCCGGAUCCUACGCCACCAACAGAAACAGCAACUAAGUGCAUUGCUGCACCGGGAUUGAAACUGGUGUUCCUUGAGACUAACCCGCCCGGAGGCGGCCCCAGAACCUACACCACCAGCAGAAUCAGAAUCAACUUCGUAAAGCCGAUGAUUUCGCGAAAAAAAAAACUUGGUGGGACAAUUUCGCAUAGAAGUAAAACGAUUUAACAGA